rnacentral:rRNA from 1 species
GAACUUACUUUGAGCACGAUCAUAACAUAUCGAUUCCCUCAGUAGCUGCGAGCGAACAGGGAUGAGCCCAGCACCGAAUCCCGCGGCCGAUACCGGGCGCCGGGAAAUGUGGUGUUAGGGAGGAUCCGUUUAUCCCGAGGUCGUGCGGCGCGUCCAAGUCCUUCUUGAACGGGGCCACAGCCCAUAGAGGGUGCCAGGCCCGUAGCGACCGCUGCCGAUCGCGGGAGGAUCUCUCCUCAGAGUCGGGUUGCUUGAGAGUGCAGCCCUAAGUGGGUGGUAAACUCCAUCUAAGGCUAAAUAUGACCACGAGACCGAUAGCGAACAAGUACCGUGAGGGAAAGUUGAAAAGCACUUUGAAGAGAGAGUUCAAGAGUACGUGAAACCGUUCAGGGGUAAACCUGAGAAACCCGAAAAGUCGAAAGGGGAAAUUCAUUCGCGUCUCGACCGUCGGAGUGGAGCGAUCGAGCGACGGACGGCGUACGCGUCGUCCGCGCCUUUCGUUUUACGUUUCGACGUCGAACGCGUGCACUUUUCCCCUAGUAGGACGUCGCGAUCCGUUGGGCGUCGGUCUAAGGUCCGCGGUGGAGCCCGGGCGUGCGUCUUCGGACGUUCGCGCUCGGACCCGCGGUAUCCCGGCCGACUCGCUCGACGGUAUAUAGAUGGCGCGGGGCCGCUAUUUCAAUUAGCGUUCGGCCCGCGGCAAGCGCGUACGGUGUUGUCGACGAUCGGACCUGGUGCCGGUCUCGUCCCCGGACGACUGUUGGCCGCGGUGUUUUCUCGAACAGACCUCGUUACGAAACGCCGAUCUGCGACGCUAUAGCUUUGGGUACUUUCAGGACCCGUCUUGAACGCA